GUAGUUUUAGUUUUAAUUUUUUCCAUUGAAAUUAUCUUCCGUUCCAUUCAUAAUUGGAUUACGAAUUUCCUUCGUUAUCAGAGGUGUUUACUUUCUGUAGCAGACAAAUGGAUGUUGUAGAGGAAACUGGCGGGCUGAUAAGGGAGCCGAUAAUAACAAUCUGUGAAUUAAGUGACUAUGCACAGGGACUUGAUGAAAAAGACAAACGACAAUAUGUAGAAAAACUAGUUAAAUGUGAAAUAGAUUGCCCAUUAUAAUUAAUUAAUUAAUUAUUAUAACGAAGGGCACAGUUUUUCGAUAACAACGGCUUCCACUACCCACAUUUGUUGUGGAAUAAAAAAUGGGCAAUCUUAUUAAAUUUUAGUAUUUUUGGUGGGAAACGAAUGAAAGUGAACAAUUUUUGUAAUGGGUGUAGUUUACAAUGCCUGAACUUUCAAUAUUUUCAAAAAAUCUUGAACCGAUAGCAAAGAAUCGGUUGUUAGAGCUUUUGUCGUCGUUGAAAAUUGAUGAUCCAAACUGGAUUGACGAAAAUCUUUGGAAAAAAUAUCGUGAUGCCAUUCCAAUUGUUCCGGCAGUGACGUGGCCUAAGCUAAUUGACUAUUUUCAAAAUGAAAAAAAGUUGAAAUACUGGAGAACCACUGCAAGUUCAAAAAGAAGUUAUUGCUGCCAUGGAGCAAAAUCUGGAUAACCCAUCGUUUAGGGACUUUAGUGGGUUAGAGCUGACAAGCAACACAGUCGUGCUGAAAGCCAAGGUUACAGCAUCAAAAACAUUAAGUACAACGUACUAUCCUUGGGUAGCCUGUGCUAAGGGCGGCAUGGUUCAAUUUGCUCAUUGCACAUGUCCAGCAGGGUAAUAUUUAAUAAGUAUAUUAAUUAGUUAUAUAAGUAUGAUUCCAUUCUUUGCUAAAACAGUUUUCGACACAGCAAUAACGCCUAACCAUUUUUUAAAACAAAGAAGAGAAUGAGAAAUAAUCUGUAAACUGACAGUUGGCUGGUACUAUUUAUCUGAAAUUGCCAAUGCUUUUUUGUUUGAGGUUGCACCAAACUGGGAGAAAUACCUAUCCAAGAUGGCAACCUCGAACCACUCUAUUCAAUGAGAACUCUGGAAAUGUGAAUGCAGUAACUGUUAAACAGUACCCCAAAAUCGGCUUUGGAAUUUGUAUUCUUUUAUUCGAUUUUGGUGGCUUUUAAAAAUAUUUCGAAUAAAGAAUACAAAUAGAAUAAAACUUUAAA